rnacentral:rRNA from 1 species
AACGAACGCUGGCGGCAGGCUUAACACAUGCAAGUCGAACGCAUCGCAAGAUGAGUGGCAGACGGGUGAGUAGCGCGUGGGAACAUACCCUUUUCUACGGAAUAGCUCUGGGAAACUGGAAUUAAUACCGUAUACGCCCUACGGGGGAAAGAUUUAUCGGGGAAGGAUUGGCCCGCGUUGGAUUAGCUAGUUGGUGGGGUAAAGGCCUACCAAGGCGACGAUCCAUAGCUGGUCUGAGAGGAUGAUCAGCCACAUUGGGACUGAGACACGGCCCACACUCCUACGGGAGGCAGCAGUGGGGAAUAUUGGACAAUGGGCGCAAGCCUGAUCCAGCCAUGCCGCGUGAGUGAUGAAGGCCUUAGGGUUGUAAAGCUCUUUCACCGAUGAAGAUAAUGACAGUAGUCGGAGAAGAAGCCCCGGCUAACUUCGUGCCAGCCGCCGCGGUAAAAC